rnacentral:rRNA from 1 species
UACGUAGGGUGCGAGCGUUGUCCGGAAUUAUUGGGCGUAAAGAGCUCGUAGGUGGUUUGUCGCGUUGUUCGUGAAAACUCACAGCUUAACUGUGGGCGUGCGGGCGAUACGGGCAGACUGGAGUACUGCAGGGGGAGACUGGAAUUCCUGGUGUAGCGGUGGAAUGCGCAGAUAUCAGGAGGAACACCGGUGGCGAAGGCGGGUCUCUGGGCAGUAACUGACGCUGAGGAGCGAAAGCGUGGGGAGCGAACAGG